rnacentral:misc_RNA from 1 species
CGCACAUUGCACCCCUCGGUAUUCCGGGGGGUAUGCCUGUUCGAGCGUCAUUACAACCUUCAAGCAUCGCUUGGUAUUGGGCACCGCUCCCCCUCUGGGGGUCGGCAGGCCUGAAAUUCAUUGGCGGUCCGGCGCAGCCUGGGGCGAAGUAAAACAUCUUCCCCGCCUUGCAGGCUCGCGCUCGGGUCCGGCCAGAACAUGGGGUUCCCUCCGGGGGACCCCUUCUCACGAUUGACCUCGGAUCAGGUAGGGAUACCCGCUGAACUUAA